UACGAAAGGAGCGAGCGUUAUCCUUAUUGAUUGGGCGUAAAGGGUUCGUAGGUGGUCUUUUGUUUGUUUCUUGUGAAAGAAUGGGGUAGUACCUUAUAAAGCAAUUAAAACAGAUUGACUUGAGUUUAAUAGAGAAUGAUAUAAUUUAAAAGGGAGGAGUAGAAUCUAUGGAUCUUUUAGAGAAUGCCAGCGGCGAAAGCGAUCAUUUGGGUUAAACUGACAUUGAGGAACGAAGGCAUGGGGAUCAAAU
rnacentral:rRNA from 1 species